CGGGGCGUAGCGCAGCCCGGUAGCGCACUUGACUGGGGGUCAAGGGGUCGCUGGUUCAAAUCCAGUCGCCCCGACCA
rnacentral:tRNA from 1 species